rnacentral:rRNA from 1 species
UACGGAGGAUGCAAGCGUUAUCCGGAUUUAUUGGGUUUAAAGGGUGCGUAGGCGGAUAUGUAAGUCAGCGGUGAAACUCACAGGCUCAACCUGUGCCGUGCCGUUGAAACUGUGUAUCUGGAAUGCGGAUGCUGUGGGAGGAAUGUGUAGUGUAGCGGUGAAAUGCAUAGAUAUUACACAGAACACCGAUUUCGAAGGCAUCUCACAAAGCCGUUAUUGACGCUGAGGCACGAAAGUGUGGGGAUCAAACA